rnacentral:rRNA from 1 species
CCUACGGGGGGCUGCAGUGGGGAAUAUUGCACAAUGGAGGAAACUCUGAUGCAGCGACGCCGCGUGAGUGAAGAAGGUCUUCGGAUCGUAAAACUCUGUCCUUGGUGAAGAUAAUGACGGUAGCCAAGGAGGAAGCCCCGGCUAACUACGUGCCAGCAGCCGCGGUAAUACGUAGGGGGCGAGCGUUGUCCGGAUUUACUGGGCGUAAAGGGUGAGUAGGCGGUUGUAUAUGUCAGGUGUAAAAGGCUAUGGCUUAACCAUGGUUAGCACUUGAAACUGUACAACUUGAGUGCAGGAGAGGUAAGUGGAAUUCCUAGUGUAGCGGUGAAAUGCGUAGAUAUUAGGAGGAACACCAGUGGCGAAGGCGACUUACUGGACUGUAACUGACGCUGAGUCACGAAAGCGUGGGUAGCAAACAGGAUUAGAUACCCUGGUAGUC